UACAGAGGUCCCAAGCGUUGUUCGGAUUUACUGGGCGUAAAGGGCGCGUAGGCGGCGCGGUAAGUCACUUGUGAAAUCUCUGAGCUUAACUCAGAACGGCCAAGUGAUACUGCAGUGCUAGAGUGUGGAAGGGGCAAUCGGAAUUCUUGGUGUAGCGGUGAAAUGCGUAGAUAUUCAAGAGGAACACCUGAGGUGAAAGACGGGGUUGCCUGGGC
rnacentral:rRNA from 1 species